rnacentral:lncRNA from 10 species
GAGCAUGCUCUCUGCCAGAGCUCGGGACUGGUGCUGACCUGCAGGAUGGAGGAGAGAAGAGAAGACUCAUCAACAGAACAAAUGUUGCUGGAACAUUACUUAUAAUGGCAACAAUUGGAAACAAUCAAAGGAUGUCACUAUAGGGACUUGGGUUAAGAAAAUUAUGACACAUCAAAAGCACAGUGAAGAGAACUUCUGUCAAUCCUGUCAAGCACAUGAAGAUGUGAAGUUUCAACUGGAUUCAUUUCUAUAAAUAACCGAUACAAUUUCCAGAAAACCCUGAAGUCAGGAAAACCAAUGUUACUAAUGGCCUUAGGCUACGAGAAGAUCUGGUUAAGAGUAUCCUAAGGGAGGAUCUAAGCCUGUUCAUACUCUACAAGCAAAGAAACAUUAAAAAACAAAACAAAAAACCAAAACUUGAAGAAACGAAGUGACCAGUUCACUACCAUUCAACUAUUAAGGGAUAGAGCCAGGACUCAGUAUCUAGUCAUGUGAUGACAAAGCCCGCACUCUUACUGUACAGCCUCACCUUGGAUAAAUCUCAUUUCAAGACAGGAAGAAACACAAGAUUUAAGGUUGUUUGUCAACUGACAGCCCUUUCUAUCAACAACUAAAUAAAAAAAUCUGUAUUCCAGAAACAUGACACUUCAUGUACCACCCAUUUUCCUCACCCUGAAACCCCUUGAUUUUCUUAUUUUCACCAUUUGCUUCAACCAGCAGUUCACUGGAGACCCAUCCAUCUUGUAAUGCCUAAAGUGACAGAUGCUCUCAGAAACGACCACACUGCUGAGUGAACAAAAGAUAACAUCACCUCCAGGAACUCCAGAGAGAAAUACAACUGCAAGCUUAAGACAGGGGCUGACUUGACAGACAUUGGACCAUAAACCUCUUCUAAGCAAAAAAGAAAACAAUUGCCACACACACAAAAAAAAUCUGACACAAUCAAAGGCAGAAAAGAGUGAUUAUUUGUGGAUUGCCUUUUCACUCUGUAACUCACUUUUCCCCACCCAAUGCUUUUAUAUCGGGGCAAUUCACUCACCAAUAGGCAGGAGGAGUUCUUGUGUGUGUGGGGGGGGGGGGGCGGGGGGGAGGCGGAGUGGGGGCAGGGGGAGCCUUUCUCAAGUAUCUUCUUUUAUUCAUCAAUAUUCAAAGUGAAAUUCAUUCACAAGUGUUUCAGGAAAUCUAAGUCUACCAUACAGCAUUCUUAAGCCUGACUCUUAAUAUCUGGACUCAGAAAUGCUGACUCAAUUCUACUGCGGUGAAAGGCACAUGCAUGCUUUGCAAAUUAAAAACACAUUAGAAAUUAAAAAGCAACCUGUGACAAUGUCAACAAUAUGUGCAGCACAUUUGAAAAAGCCAACCAUUCAUCAGACAACCUCCAACUUGGGUUAAAAAGACAUUUUACAAGAGGAUUCUGGGAAGGGCUGCACAGCUCUUUUCUAACAAAGGAAAGGUCAUAUUAACAUCUCCCAGCAACAAACUAAUGACAGGGAAGCUGUAGAUGCAGGAGACUCUGCUUGAUGCCAUCUAGGUUCUAGGACUUUCGUUGUGACUGUUGUUUAAAACAUCUUAUUUAAAACUAUCAGACAGAAUAGGAAGUAAAUAUAACUCUAACAUUCAGACAAAUACAGUGAAGGGGAAAUUUCGAAGAACAUAAAAACAAAAACUAACCUGGAGGUCAAUUAAGAACAUCAUGUGGUCAAUGCCAAUUAUGGAGAUUAACAACCCGUUUUUAGAAUAGAUAUCGAGCAACACAGGAAAACCUCUGUUGGAGCUAAAUACAUUAUUCUUCUCAAAAAGGGCAAAUGAUACAAAUAUUUAUGUUACAUCUAAAGAAAAGAGCCAAAAUGCUUAAGAAAAUUUCCAUUGACAAUAUUUCUAAGAAGAAAUCUAAAUACUUAUAAUGGCAUUUCUUUAAUAAAAAUAUUUUUUUCUCUAAAAUGUUUGCACACAAAGUCUUUAAGUUAUGCUACAAUCAUUUUUCUUUGGGGUUACUAAUGACUCCUCUCCUCCCCACUUUCCAAAAAAAACACAAAUUUUAAAAUAUAUUUUGUCUCCUGUGAUUGAAUUACUUGUGGGGAGGAGGUUAAAAAAAUUUCAACUUAUAUAAAUCAACAUAUCAGUUACUUAAACAUUUUUAUGUCUCUCUUAUUUCCUCAAACACUUCAAUGUAUCUUUCAUAAAUAACAGUAUAAUAUUUCAUAAUCUCAGAAUUUUCUGGGUUUUUUUUAAGGCUGGCAAAGUAGAAUACAUACAAAAUAAUAAAAUGAGUAUGUAAAAUCAUAUCACAAUAGAAAAAAGAUUAAAUAAUUAUAGAACACUUAUAUAAAAUACUUGUUCUAAUAUGGACUGGAUCUUUAACUAGGAGACUUUAUAAACAAAGCCUUAUACACACUGGCCCUAAGUAAUCUCCCACAAUCUAUUAAUCCAAAACUACCACAUCAUUCAACACUUUCAAACUCUGGCAUUAAUAACAAGAAAGAGAAGUGACCUUGAAAUGACAGCUCCACUGCAGAAGGCUCAAAAAAAGAUCCAAUUAAAUGAUCUACUUUAAAACACAAUAGAAUCAAUAUGCAUGCUAGAAAAGUACAUCCCUGUGGAAAGUUCUUAUUGUCUGACUGAUCAAAAACAAAACUUUUUUUUUUUUAAGGGCCCCUUCCAGAUCACAGUCUGUACCAGAAAUCCACACAGGAAAAAAAAAUCCAUCAAAAUGAAACCCUAAAAGGGUUUACUCUUCACCAUUCUAUUUGCACUUCAAAACCCUGUCAGUCCUUCAGUUAAACCCCAGGGCUGUACCAUUUCAAUAAUAAGAGAGGUGGCCAGUGGUGAUUUAUCUCCCAUUUGGCCUCUGGACAGAGCUGUAAUGUCUAGGAAGCUUCCCUUCCCUGACUGGAUCCCUCCCCCAAGUCUCCACCUUAAUUUGUGCAGCCUUGGGUCUGCAAUACCUUAGAAACAAUUCAUGUGCCCCUUCCAAUCAGAUGCAGGAACACUCUGUACUCAAGAUUUGGGUACAUUUUCUCAGCAAUAAUUUCACAAAAUGGCAUGCUGCUGAGUACUCAGAGCAUGGCAAAUACCAGCUUAAAUUUCAGAUUCUCUUUGUUAUAAGUUAGAGCAGAAAAGAAACUUCCUUAACUGUAGCCUCUCUCUUCUCACAUACGUUAUCGGAACUUCACAAGCUUUUCCCAGUGUAUACUUUGAUAUCCUUUAUGUUUUGGACCACAUUAGCCAGUAUCCUUCAGUGUGGUACUCAUCUAAAUUUAAAUCUUUGCAUUGUAAAAUACCUUAACAAAUCCAAAAAAGUGGAGAUUUCAUAGGUCACAGACUCCUGGGUCAAAAAGACCUAAAAAUAGAUAACAGACCACCACGACUUAACUGAUUUAUUCUACCCUUGUUAUCCAAUAUGUACUGUAACUGUCAUCACAUACACUCACCAAUUUUCCAACAAUGUCAACAGUUAUUUAAAUGGAAAUAUAGAUCCCAGAAGUCACCAAAUGUGAAACACAGUGAAAUUAUUCCUUAAAAAUGGAGGAUAUUUUAUCAUUAGGCAUGACUUACCUAUUUCAUAAUUAUGUUCAUUUGCUUUCUAAAAUGGAAAGAGAAUAAAAAGCAUGUAUAACCU